CUUUUACGACGGAGCCUAAGAUAUUCUUUGUCUUGUCGGUUUUUACAGCAGGGUUUGCAGCCUUUUGUGCUGUUCCGAAGGUACUAGAGUCACCGAAAGAGACAUCCUAUUAUAUGCACGUUCACAAGGACAAUGGCGCCAUUGUUCUUCGCGUCUUCAAAGCAGCUACAAGAAGAAACCAAGUGAAUGCUGACCAGUGAGAUGCCAGCCUGCGUGUGAAGAUCCUACAGCAGAAGUGCAUGGCCAGUGACACAAGAACUUGCGAGAGAUGCCAGUCCGCCUGUGAAGAUCCUGCAGCAGGAGUGCAUAGCCAGUGACACAAGACGUGCGAAUGAAAACUAGAUGUGACCAUCCAGAAAAAGCAUAGACAAAAAAAUGCAGUCUUAGUACUGGGAUGUUUGAGAUGGGGUCUAUCUACAUGUCUCUAGCUGUCCCUAUCAGGACAGCAUCUGGUGUGGCCUGCAGAGUUGAUUCCUGUACUUUUUUUUUUUUGUGGGCUGUAUGUAAAUGGAUUGUUUUGACAAUCCAUUCGACAGUGUUCUCUUCUGUGAAGGUCAUAGGUGAGCUGAUUGACAGACACAGCUGUACAGACUGAAUGCAAUCCUGACUAUAAAGCUGCAGUUCAUCAUUAUGAGCUAUUUCCUUAUUCUGGCAGUGAUUGAAAUAAAAUGGGGAGUAUUGAAAUAAAAAACAUUCAAUUGCAAA
rnacentral:lncRNA from 1 species